rnacentral:tRNA from 1 species
GCGAUAGUGGCGGAAUUGGUAGACGCACCAGAUUUAGGUUCUGGCGGGGUGACCCGUGUGGGUUCGAGUCCCACCUUUCGCACCA